rnacentral:rRNA from 1 species
AGUGAACGCUGGCGGUAGGCCUAACACAUGCAAGUCGAACGGCAGCACAGUAAGAGCUUGCUCUUACGGGUGGCGAGUGGCGGACGGGUGAGGAAUACAUCGGAAUCUACUUUUUCGUGGGGGAUAACGUAGGGAAACUUACGCUAAUACCGCAUACGACCUACGGGUGAAAGCAGGGGAUCUUCGGACCUUGCGCGAUUGAAUGAGCCGAUGUCGGAUUAGCUAGUUGGCGGGGUAAAGGCCCACCAAGGCGACGAUCCGUAGCUGGUCUGAGAGGAUGAUCAGCCACACUGGAACUGAGACACGGUCCAGACUCCUACGGGAGGCAGCAGUGGGGAAUAUUGGACAAUGGGCGCAAGCCUGAUCCAACCAUACCGCGUGGGUGAAGAAGGCCUUCGGGUUGUAAAGCCCUUUUGUUGGGAAAGAAAAGCAGCAGGUUAAUACCCCGCUGUUCUGACGGUACCUAAAGAAUAAGCACCGGCUAACUUCGUG